CUAAAGCACAGGUCCUACUCCAAAGUCGUUUUAGGUGCUUACUGAAGACAACUGGAGAAGAUGCCUUGGCUGUAGCCUGGGUAAAGCCUCUUGCGCAGGCAGCCGCACGGGGGCGUCCUUCCCCCUCUCAACAGUGCCGCAGGGACUGCUCUGUCCCUCUCCUUGUCCUCAACGGCGGCUAUGCCGUUCCCGACGCUCACGGCUGACUCUUCCUUUCAGACAGACAACAAGAGCCUGAAACUCUGGCUUCGUUGUGCGUCUUCCUGGCGCUGCCUCCAGCUGCUGUUCCUGCCUCCAAGCCCUUAGGCUGACUAUCCGCUCUGGAUCUCAAGAGGGUGGCUGGGAGGAGACGACAGCUCCUACUCCGCCACCUGUGUCCCAAGGAGUGUCUCCACUGAACACUCUUGAAAUGCGUAUACGAGUCAUGACGUGUUUGCUUUCAUUUCUAGGGAUGCUUGUGAAACCAGCAUCUCCAAGCAAGCCCUUUUGCAGCCUGCCAUCCAACCCUGACUGUCCCAGAUGCGGCAGUACAGCAACAGCCCAAGCUGGAGAGACACCAGCUUUUAGCACCCUGCUUUAUGGGGUUCUAGCUCUGCUCCUCCUCCCAAGAGUUAAGAUAAAUGCUCAGUUCCUCACUGCUGCUCUGCUACCACACAACUGCACUGCAGGGGGCACUGGAAACAGACUGCCACAUCCUCCUGCUCUGCCUCUGUCAGCCCAGAGCUCCUGCCCUUGCCACUGUCAGCCAUGGCUGUUGUCAUGACAGUUUUAUGCACCCAUUGAGAUAAGCACUGAAAGUCACUUAUGUUUUCUAACUACAUCUGGUGCAAAAUGAGCUUUGGCUGCUCUUUGCAACUGGCAAAAGGCUUCUGGAAAGGUGUUCAGCUGUGGCAUCAUCCAGCCCACUCCCAUAGCUGACAUUUUUGUUAUGGCACAGCUACUGUACAAAAACUGAGGCACAAUCAUUCCAAAGCUGUCCUCCAUGUGUUUCUUAAGUUGUCUGAAUCAUAACAUCCAAUGAAAUAAGCACUUCUGUUCGAGGAACACACCAUGUUUAAAGCAGUACUAACUCUAGCCUUUCAUCCCCUGUCACAUACUACUGCAAAACAAAGCUUACAAGGUUUAAGUCUCAUUCUUGGCCAAGAAAAUCUUCCCUGUGAUAUUGCUGCUUCCUAUUUCUUUGUGGGUUUACUUUUUAUUUUAAUUAUGGCUGUUUAAGUGCAUUGGAAAAAUAAUUACUUGACAUAA